rnacentral:rRNA from 1 species
UACGUAGGGGGCAAGCGUUGUCCGGAAUCAUUGGGCGUAAAGAGCGCGUAGGCGGUCCGGUAAGUCCGCUCUGAAAGUCCGGGGCUCAACCCCGGGAGGCGGGCGGAUACUGCCGGGCUAGAGUCCGGAAGAGGGUCGCGGAGUUCCCGGUGUAGAGGUGAAAUUCGUAGAUAUCGGGAGGAACACCAGUGGCGAAGGCGGCGACCUGGGCCAAUAUUGACGCUGAGGUGCGAAAGCGUGGGGAGCAAACAGG